rnacentral:rRNA from 1 species
AAAGGGUAGCAAUACCUGAGUAAAGCGGCGCACGGGUGAGUAACACGUGGAUAACCUGCCUCAAAGUGGGGAAUAACACCGGGAAACCGGUGCUAAUACCGCAUAUUCUGACGAGAUCUGUGGAUUUUGUCAGGAAAGGAGCAAUUCGCUAUGAGAGGGGUCCGCGGCUGAUUAGCUAGUUGGUGAGGUAAUGGCUCACCAAGGCCACGAUCAGUAGCCGGUCUGAGAGGACGGUCGGCCACACUGGAACUGAGACACGGUCCAGACUCCUACGGGAGGCAGCAGUGGGGAAUUUUUCGCAAUGGGGGCAACCCUGACGAAGCAAUGCCGCGUGGAUGAUGAAGUAUCUCGGUACGUAAAAUCCUUUCGACGGGGACGAAACCGCAAGGUUGACGGUACCCGUAGAAGAAGCCCCGGCUAACUCCGUGCCAGCAGCCGCGGUAAUACGGGGGGGGCAAGCGUUGUUCGGAAUUACUGGGCGUAAAGGGUGCGUAGGCGGCUUUCUAAGUCGGAUGUGAAAACUCUGGGCUCAACCCAGAGCCUGCAUCCGAAACUGGAGAGCUAGGGUUCUGGAGGGGAAAGCGGAAUUCCUGGUGUAGCGGUGAAAUGCGUAGAUAUCAGGAGGAACACCGGUGGCGAAGGCGGCUUUCUGGACAGAUACCGACGCUGAGGCACGAAAGCUAGGGGAGCAAACAGGAUUAGAUACCCUGGUAGUCCUAGCCCUAAACUAUGGAUACUUGCUGUGGGGGGGAUUGAAGCCCCCUUGUGGCGAAGCUAACGCAUUAAGUA